UUUCCGUAGGUGAACCUGCGGAAGGAUCAUUGUCGAACCCUGCACAGCAGAACGACCCGUGAACAAGUUAACACAUCUGGCCUUGCCGGGACCGAAGCAUUUGUUUCGGCCCUUGUGAGUCCUUGUCGACGUGCGUUCAUGCGUGGACCAUACCUUUGGUUUUGUCAUGGAUGUCAUGUUGACAAAAUAACAAACCCCCGGCACGAGAUGUGCCAAGGAAAACCAAAAUUAAAGAACACGUGCUGUUGCGCCCCGUUCGCGGUGUGCGCACUGUUCGUGGCUUCUUUGUAAACUUAAAACGACUCUCGGCAACGGAUAUCUCGGCUCACGCAUCGAUGAAGAACGCAGC
rnacentral:misc_RNA from 1 species